UUAAAAAGCUCGUAGUUGAACCUUGGGCCUAGCCGGCCGGUCCGCCUCACCGCGUGCACUGGCUCGGCUGGGCCUUUCCUUCUGGAGAACCGCAUGCCCUUCACUGGGUGUGCUGGGGAACCAGGACUUUUACUCUGAACAAAUUAGAUCGCUUAAAGAAGGCCUAUGCUCGAAUACAUUAGCAUGGAAUAAUAGAAUAGGACGUGUGGUUCUAUUUUGUUGGUUUCUAGGACCGCCGUAAUGAUUAGUAGGGACAGUCGGGGG
rnacentral:rRNA from 1 species